GUGGGGGCGGGGCUCCUUGCCUUGUGGGCGGGGUCCGGGCUGCCCAGUCCGCAGGUUGCGUUCCUCUGCGCGGCUCCACUCUUCCGGCCCCGCGCGACGCCCGCCCCCUCCACCUUCCGCCCGGCGCGGGCUACGGCGUGACGGUCGCGGCGUUUCAGGGUCUCCUAGGCUCUGCGGCGCCCGAGCCCGCCAUGUCGGGCCCCAAUAUGGGAAUGCCGGUGGUACCGAGCACGGAAGACGAGGAUGACAGCUUCGGGGAAGCAGGUGACGCGGGGGGACUGCUGAGCGACCGUUGCUCCAGGUUCCGGGCCCUGGAGCGGGCCGGGCGGCUUCCCCCGCUUUACUUCGCGAGGUCCCACCGUUUCAGCUUCCACCAGGGCCCCCGGUCCGCACGAGGCCGCCGCGUCCCAUCAUCGCGCGGUCCUGGAAGAGCCUGAGCCCGCCACGUCGGGCCCCCUCGGGGACCUGGGCUUGCCGGUGGAGGCGGACUCAGGAAGCCGGUGACUCAGGGGGGCUGCAGGAACGACCUGUCGCUUUCUCGGGGCACCUUCCUGGGAAGAGGAGUCGGGCCGGGAUAUGGGUUUGUGAGGGACCGCGGAGCCCUCCCACCCCUCGCUCCUGGGUGGGUUGUGGCUGCAGACCCCCGUCUCGGUGAGCACUUCCGAGUGGGUCUCCGGAAGCCUCACACCGAGAACUGUUUACAGAAGCGGGAACGCGCGCCGCGUGCACACCCGCCACCUGGCUCAGCGCCGGGGGACCACACCCCGCAGCCGGGCGGUCCGGGUCACCACCAGCAGUGAUCAGUCCCGUGGCUAGCGUCUUCCCCUGAUGUGAUGUGGAACAAAUGGCACUCGACCUCUGUAGUUUUCCUCCUAAAACUCAUAACCCCAGUCUAAUCCUGAGAAGAACGCCUGACAAGUCCCAAUAGGGAGAGAUUCUACAAAAUACAUGAGCAGUGCCCCUCAACGCUGUCAAGGUCAUCAAGACCAAGGAAAGGCUGCCGCUGGUGUGGCUCAGUGUUUGAGCAUCGACCUAUGAACCAGGAGGUCAGGGUUCAGUUCUCGGCCAGGGCACAUGCGGGGGUUGAGGGCUCAGUUCCCAGAAGGGUGUGUGCAGGAGGAAGCCAAUCAAUGAUUCUCAUCACUGAUGUUUCUUUUCUCUUCUCUGAAAUCAAUAAAUAUAUAUAUAUAUAUAUUUAAAGUGUGUAUUCUUAUAUGUAAUUGUCUGGUCAUAAAAAAAAAAAGCAACAUGGUAUCCUGGAUGGGAUCCUGAAACAGGAAAAGGACAUUAUGUACAAAUUCCCAAAGAAAUCUGAAUGAAGUAUGGACUUUAGUUAAUAAUGUAUCAAAAGUGGUUCAUUAAUUGUAAAUGUCACACUAAUACAAGAUGUUAAAAAUAAGGGAAACCAUGCAGGAUAUAUGGGAGCUCUGCAAACUAUUUUCACAAUUUUUCUAUAAAUCUGAAACAAAAUUAAGAGUUUAUUUUUAAAAACUUGCCUAAUUGUGGUCUUCGAAUAUAUUGCAUGGCUGGUGUUCUCUUUGUGGGAAGAUUUGUUAAUAACUUGUCAACUCUGUGGAUGUUUUAGGGCCUCUCUUUCUUUUACUUCAUGAAUCCACAAGUUUGAGUAUUUCCCAUUUCAUUACCUAUAACAGUGUCUUACCCUUUAAUGUCUGUAAAACCUAGUUAUAGAUUUUAAAAUUUCUACUUCUGUUUAUUUGUGUCUUAUACCUUUCUGUGUUGAGAAUAAUUUUUUCCCCAGAUUUCUACUUAUGUUCUUAGUCUUUUUCAGGAGUCGACUUUUGGCUUUGAUAUUCCUAAUGUAUCUUUGUAUUUUAUUAAUUUCCACUCUUCAUUUACUUCUGCCUUCUAUUUUCUUUGGGUUUAUUCUGUAGUUUCUUUUCUAAAUAUUUUACUUUGGACACUUUACUCAUGACCUUUUCUUAUUAUAAAACACACACUAGUCACCCGCUGCCCGGGCACCCCUUGCCCAGCCCUCAGGCACGUCAGAGGGUAUUGUUCCCCAACCACCCGUGGCUGAACGCUGCUCACACGUUUCCGGGGACCAGUCCAGGGCGUUAGACUGGAUUCCUGACAUGCAGUCAGCACAGGGAACACUCGCUGCCUCCCGGAAGGGAUUGGACUCGGCCCGGGGCCUGGGCCCUGCGGUUGGGAGAACAGGCCACUGUGUCCGUGGGAGCCUCGAAUCCCGGGCCUGUGGAGAGGGGGCCCCUGCCUUCCAAAGGCAGAAGCAAGAAGCACCCUCGGCCGGUCCCCUGCCCUCCAGUCCAACCAGCCCAGCACUGAGUCUGCCCCGGUGACGGCCAUGACUGUCCUGGGACCCCUGUUGUUUUCCAAAUUGGUCCCCGUACAUGGAGGGCAAGGAGAGAGCAAGGAAAGAGGCCACUCCAGGUGGGCAGGUGCAGGUUAGGCAGCAAGGGAACGUACCAGGCUGGUCUUGGGCGCGGGAAGACAAGUAGAGCUCCACAGUCACCGCCAGAAUCUUAUUUAUAGAGAGGCCUUCACGGGGCUCAGGCACAUACGCCAUCAAAGGGUCAGUAACACAGGGCGCUCAAGGCUGCACUGACGGGGUGAGGGGUGGGCAGGGAUCACAGGGGGUGAGGGGUGGGCAGAGA